GGGGAGAGUGCCGUCGCAAGAGGAGCCUGGUGACAGGUGCUGCAUGGCUGUCGUCAGCUCGUGUCGUGAGAUGUUGGGUUAACGUCCCGCAACGAGCGCAACCCCUAUCUUUAGUUGCCAUCAUUGAGUUGGGCACUCUAAAGAGACUGCCGGUGUCAAACCGGAGGAAGGUGGGGAUGACGUCAAGUCCUCAUGGCCUUUAUGACCAGGGCUACACACGUACUACAAUGGCCGGUACGAAGGGCAGCGACACAGCGAUGUGAAGCCAAAUCCCGAAAAGCCGGUCUCAGUCCGGAUUGGAGUCUGCAACUCGACUCCAUGAAGUUGGAAUCGCUAGUAAUCGCGGAUCAGCACGCCGCGGUGAAUACGUUCCCGGGCCUU
rnacentral:rRNA from 1 species